GACAAACUCUACCCAAACUCCUUCUCUGUACGAACCGAAGACCUUCAAGCAAAGCUAGGGUUUCGACUUGCGCUGGAGUGGAGGCCUUUACCGAUCUAGUGUGAUCGGCAACGAGGCUCCUAGUGAAAUCCCGACAUAUGCACGCAACGGCACUGUCAGUCGUUCCCUUCCCAAGAGCGCCGUCAACAUUAAUUUUCAGUUCGCCUUUCUCCGGUGUGACCCAGGUUUCUUGCAAGAUCUGUGCUGAUUCAACAGUAACCUCUGCAUUCGGGUCUUGGCCUCUGAAUAUUGCGUUGUUGCGAGCAACCCAAAUGCACCACAGUAUCGAAGCCACCUCUUCAAGGGAAGGAACUAUGUUCUGAUUUUCUUUUAUACUCGCUA